rnacentral:rRNA from 1 species
AACGAACGCUGGCGGCAUGCCUAACACAUGCAAGUCGAACGAGACCUUCGGGUCUAGUGGCGCACGGGUGCGUAACGCGUGGGAACCUGCCCUUAGGUUCGGAAUAACUCCCCGAAAGGGGUGCUAAUACCGGAUAAUGUCUUCGGACCAAAGAUUUAUCGCCUUUGGAUGGGCCCGCGUUGGAUUAGCUAGUUGGUAGGGUAAAAGCCUACCAAGGCGACGAUCCAUAGCUGGUCUGAGAGGAUGAUCAGCCACACUGGGACUGAGACACGGCCCAGAAUCCUACGGGAGGCAGCAGUGGGGAAUAUUGGAAAAUGGGCGAAAGCCUGAUCCAGCAAUGCCGCGUGAGUGAUGAAGGCCUUAGGGUUGUAAAGCUCUUUUACCCGGGAUGAUAAUGACAGUACCGGGAGAAUAAGCUCCGGCUAACUCCGUG